UUUUUUCCUUGAAAUUUCACAAUGCAGCAUUUAAGGCAAUUGAUACGGAGCUUAUAGUGAGUUAGGAUCGAAAUCUGUCAAUCAACAGCAAGCAGUAUUGAUUCCAGUUGAAAUUAAUUAGUUCUGUAGGCAUUGACCGUAGUUGGACACAGUGAAAUAUUUUUGAAAAAAUUUUGAAAUUUAUAUUUUGAAUUAUUGAUUUUCUUCAAAAAAAAAAUCUUUUUACGAUGAAAGGAACAUAAUACCCACCUUAAAGUAAAAAUUAGUUGGCAAAGAAAGAAACAAUUUUACACCUGCUAGUUCUACCACCUUUUUUAUUUUACCUCCAAUAAAUUAGGAAAACUUUAGGACUUAUAAAGAUAUGAUGCAAAUUAUACCCAUAUACGGCAGUAGUUGGAUGCAAAUUUUGCCGAACAUCUUUUCCUUCAAAAUCGGAUUUUCGAUCAAUUUUCAUAAAGUUCGGAGGAGAACAAGCUGGAAGGUGGUCUCACGCGAACAGCUGAAAACAGCCGGCCAGUUUGGCGGUAUUAAAGUGUCAGUUCUGUUUUUACAUUCGCAGUAAACUACCCAAUGUCUUUGCACGUUCACGAGAGCAAGUAUCUUUGGUUGUGUUGAGAACAAUACCAAUUUUGCUGGAAGGUGGUCUCACGCGAACAGCUGAAAACAGCCGGCCAGUUUGGCGGUAUUAAAGUGUCAGUUCUGUUUUUACAUUCGCAGUAAACUACCCAAUGUCUUUGCACGUUCACGAGAGCAAGUUUCUUUGGUUGUGUUGAGAACAAUACCAAUUUUGAAAUUACAUCUUGAUGACGAGAUGGCGAAUUGCAAUAUAUGAUUUGAGAUUGUUAAACAAAUGAGAUCACCUUUAAUUGUUUCGCCAUGGGAGAAGAAAUAAGCGGCAUCAUUUGAACAGAACGUUGAUGGCUCGUCGUAAAAAUUUGUCAAAAUUUAUAUUUUUGAAAUAUUGUAUUUAACAUUUAUUGUUCCUUAAUUUUGUAAUUUGUUCAUCUAAAAUUUUAUGGAAAUAAAUGACAUUUAAAACCAA